rnacentral:tRNA from 1 species
ACCUGGGUGGCUCAGUCGUUAAGCAUCUGACUUUGGCUCAGGUCAUGAUCUCACGGUUCAUGAGUUCGAGUCCCAUAUUAGGUG